AGUCAGAAUUUGACCAGCUAAGUAUGACACAGUAUCAAAGUUCAACUGACGAUUUUUUCGAUAUUUUAUCGAUUAUCUUGAUCCUAAAAAAAUAGAGAUCGAAAUAGUUAUUCGAUGCAGAUAUUAAUUACCCACGAUCGUGGGACGCAAUAAUCGCCCACUAAUGAUCCGUUACUCAAUUUUAAUAACGAUUAACGAGAUAACUGCCCAAUAAAUACAGUAAUUCUCACGUCCCAAAUUCUAGAGAGUGGAAG
rnacentral:lncRNA from 1 species